rnacentral:rRNA from 1 species
CCUACGGGAGGCAGCAGUGAGGAAUUUUGCGCAAUGGGCGAAAGCCUGACGCAGCAACGCCGCGUGGGUGAAGAAGGCCUUCGGGUCGUAAAGCCCUGUCAGGUGGGAAGAAACUUGUGGAUGUUAAUACCAUCCACACUUGACGGUACCAUCGGAGGAAGCACCGGCUAACUCCGUGCCAGCAGCCGCGGUAAUACGGAGGGUGCAAGCGUUGUUCGGAAUUAUUGGGCGUAAAGCGCGUGUAGGUGGUCAGGUAAGUCAGAUGUGAAAGCCUUCUGCUUAACAGAAGAAGUGCAUUUGAAACUGCUUGGCUAGAGUACGGGAGAGGAGAGUGGAAUUCCCGGUGUAGAGGUGAAAUUCGUAGAUAUCGGGAGGAACACCAGUGGCGAAGGCGGCUCUCUGGACUAAUACUGACGCUGAGGCGCGAAAGCUAGGGGAGCAAACAGGAUUAGAUACCCUGGUAGUCCUAGCCGUAAACGAUGGGCACUAGGUGUGGGAGGUAUCGACCCCUUCCGUGCCGCAGCUAACGCAUUAAGUGCCCCGCCUGGGGAGUAUGGCCGCAAGGUUGAAACUCAAAGGAAUUGACGG